rnacentral:misc_RNA from 1 species
UUCAGAACUGUUGAAUUUAGAAUGGAUUAUAUCUUUAUGAUUAUCACUUGCACCCCUUUGCUUUUCCCCUCUGUUGAGCUUAUGUUUAAGCUUAGACGGCCUUACCUGGGAAGACUCAUGCUGAUUUUUCUUUCCUGAAAAUAAUCCCAAAAUUUAACAAUUUGGGAAAUUGAAUUAGUGAAAUAGGAUAGAUGAAAGUUCUCGUUGUAGCUGUGCAAGCAUCCAUCAUGAAAG